UACGAAGGGUGCAAGCGUUACUCGGAAUUACUGGGCGUAAAGCGUGCGUAGGUGGUUUGUUAAGUCUGUUGUGAAAGCCCCGGGCUCAACCUGGGAAUGGCAAUGGAUACUGGCAGGCUAGAGUACGGUAGGGGCAGAGGGAAUUUCCGGUGGAGCGGUGAAAUGCGUAGAGAUCGGAAAGAACACCAAGGGCGAAGGCACUCUGCUGGGCCGACACUGACACUGAGAGACGAGAGCUAGGGGAGCGAACAGG
rnacentral:rRNA from 1 species